rnacentral:misc_RNA from 1 species
UCGGCCGAUUACUCAAUGAUUCUGUCCGGUUAAGCUAUGCAAUCCACUUGGUUUUCGUAUAUCCUGUGAUGAGCUUCUCUUUGAGGGCUAACAUAGAUGAACUGCUCUUCCCCAAGAGGCCUAUAUUAGCCAUGGACACUACAAGAUUUGUGUCUCUAACUUGUGUUCUAUUAGCUGUCACUUAUAUAACAGCAAUAGCCAUACCCCGGUAUUUUUUCCAGUUCAUGGGAUCAACAACCAUUGUUUUUCUCUCAUUUAUUUUUCCAGGCA